rnacentral:lncRNA from 1 species
AGAAAACUGAAUAAUUCUUAUUACUUUCAAAAAUGGGUCAUUUACAAUGAAGCAAAGACUAGAGCUUUAUAGGCUCGACAAGGACAGACUCUAACAGUCAUAAAAUGAUAAAAGGAAACAAAAUAACUUGAACUUAAAGUCUUGGGAGCAAAGGCUUUGAUGACUCCAUGGAAUAUAGCCGUUAGGCUUGAUUUGCUUCCUUCCAAAAGAGAAACUUGUGAAGACUUGUAUCUUGAUAGCUUCUGGACGUGGCCAUGAUCUUCAAGCCUUCCUGAAAUACUCCUUGGCCUCAGUAAAAGAGAAUAUGGCCGUUGGUCUUGGGCAAAAAUCUGUAGAAACUUCUCCAAAGCAUUUAGUGUAGAUGUUGCCAAAUAUGGAAGGUUGAUGGGAAGAGAGAUCCGCCUGAUCUCCUGGGUGCUGGUCCAGCUGAGGACGUCUUGGAUGUAUUCUGAAUGGUCUAGAGUAUCUCCUGGUUCCCAUAGAUAGCCCUGGGUCGAACCAAGUUGAAUUGGUUGAAGAC